AAUAGAUACCCUGGUAGUCCACGCCGUAAACGUUGGGCGCUAGAUGUGGGGACCAUUCCACGGUUUCCGUGUCGCAGCUAACGCAUUAAGCGCCCCGCCUGGGGAGUACGGCCGCAAGGCUAAAACUCAAAGGAAUUGACGGGGGCCCGCACAAGCGGCGGAGCAUGCGGAUUAAUUCGAUGCAACGCGAAGAACCUUACCAAGGCUUGACAUAUACGAGAACGCUCUAGAAAUAGAGAACUCUUUGGACACUCGUAUACAGGUGGUGCAUGGUUGUCGUCAGCUCGUGUCGUGAGAUGUUGGGUUAAGUCCCGCAACGAGCGCAACCCUCGUUCUAUGUUGCCAGCGGUUCGGCCGGGAACUCAUAGGAGACUGCCGGGGUCAACUCGGAGGAAGGUGGGGAUGACGUCAAAUCAUCAUGCCCCUUACGUCUUGGGCUUCACGCAUGCUACAAUGGCCGGUACAAAGGGCUGCAAUACCGCAAGGUGGAGCGAAUCCCAAAAAGCCGGUCUCAGUUCGGAUUGAGGU
rnacentral:rRNA from 1 species